rnacentral:lncRNA from 1 species
AGCUAUACCUUGGUCCUUGACUUAUCCAAAACACCCCUCAUGAGCCCUCUUUUCCUUUCCUAUAAAGUUGAUACACACCGAUUAAUACAAUACUUCAUGAUACAAGAAUAUGAGAAUAUAUACUUUGCUUCUUUAUGCUUAUUUUUUAGCUCUUCUAGCUCUUACUUUUUGCUUUUUAUACUCAUUCUUAGCCCCCUUAACUCUUACUUUUAUUCUAUUCUAUUUUGCAUUGCUUAGAGUUAGCUAAGCCUCCAUAUAAACUCUAAAAUUUUCAGCAAUUUGACUGUAUUUUAUUUUUAUCAUCUAUCUCAAAUUCAGCCAACACCAUAAUAUCAUCUAAUUGCUGAAACAAUUCAGAUAGAUUUCAAUAAAAUCAGCAGCAACACUGAUUCUUCAAUUUAAGUUCACAAUUCAUAUAUUUCAAUUCCCCCAGCACAUCAAGUCUUAUAGUUAUUAUACAUAAUUCAAUUUAAAUUUAGUUUAGGGUUGAAGUUCUUACCUCAAUUAGUUGGAGCACUAUAGCCACAAACACAGUCUUCUUUCCCUUCCUACCAUUAGCCAUCUUUUCUUCCAGAUUUGGUUAUCAAUAGAACAUCUUCUUCUAGCUGAAUUCCGUCUGAAUUCUUGAUUGAAAAUACCAUCCUCUCUAGCCCUUUUCCCUUUCUAUUCUUUUAUUUUUACUACUGAACUAAAAUAGCAACCAAGAGGCAUCGCUGACUAAAACUUGAAAUACAAUAAAUUUAAGGGAGCUGCUUGCUAGGUGUCAAGCACAGGGAAAACUAGCAAAACAAUAAUAUGCUGAGGGGUUGUCCUAAGGAUAUUUCAGCUGUUUUGGCAUGUAUUUUGUCUUUCUCAAUUAAAUUCAGCUGAACCAAGUAAGACAAGUGGCAACACAAGGAAAGGACAAGCGGCGUAUCCAAAUUCUGCAAAUCAAUGCAUCCAUGCAGAAAUCUGUUUCUCUCACAUAGACUCACAAUACACCAAUGUAUAUACAUACUAAUUCAUGUAAUUCCCAUCUAAUUAAAUUCUUCAAUUUUAUCUCUGAUUACUUAUAUCUUUCCAUCCAAUUGAACUCUGAUUGAUUUUGCAUCUUCAAUUCCAUAUAAGCUAUGAAUUUUCUCAUCAAUCCUAAAAUGAUUUUUUUUUUCCUUCAACUUACUAAACAUAUUCCGUCCCAAUUACACUAUAUACUUUCAUAUUUUUUACUAUUUCUUCAUGCUACUAAGGUCUCAAUACUGUUAUAUAUAUUUUUUCCAAUGCCAUGAUACAAUUCUGCAAUUUUCCUCUACACCACUCAAGUUUAACUUUACAUAAUCACUAAGCAAUUCUCGACAACUCUUCCCCUCCAAUAACAAAAUAUUCAUGGCUCUUUUUAUUUUUAUAUUUUUUGAAUCUAUACCACAAAACUGCCAUAUAUAUCACCUAAGAUAUCCUUCCCAAUAUCAGCUUAUUCUAUUUUAAAUAGUUACCAAAAAUUCAUCUUCAAUGUCACUAUUAUCAAUUCAAUCUCUUAAUCUCAAAGAUCAAACAAAUUUAUGCUUUAUUAAUGCCAAUCAAUUAAUAUUCAAAGACUCAAGUAUAUCAUGAACAAAAUGUUAUGCCAUAUAAAUGAAAGCUAACAUGAAUGCAAAUUUCUUAGACCACCACAUUCUGGGUUCGGGGUGUUACAAUUCUUCUCUUCUUUUAAGAAUUUCAUCCUGAAAUUCUGUUACCCUUAAUCUGGAUAUUUAUUUGCUUUUCAUUUUAUCUCCUCUUUCUCAUCAGGCCUCUUCCAUACUGUGAUUCUACCAAAAUGUCUUAACCAAUGGUACAAUCCAAGAAUGCAACUAUUUUCCCCUUUUUACUCGAGAUAUACACUAGUUCCUCUGGAUAAGAUAAAUCUUCUUUUAAUUCAACUAGUUUGGACUGUAUAACAUGUGAUAUCCUAUAAGAUUGGCCAUCCCUAUCAAUUCCUCUUGGUUUAUCUCGACUUUGGCCUCUAUCUCCCAUUAAUGAUUAUUCUCAACUAAGUUUUGAUCUUAUCUGUACCAUCUUUCUAUAAAAUAUAAUUAAAAUAAUCAAAUUUGCUGUCCUCAAAGAUGAUUUGAUGAUGAUCAAAUAUUAAAACAUAGAUGUAUACUAUUAUCUCCCAAAUUCUUUUUAGAAAUAUUUUUAUAGAUAGAAAACAUCAUUAAAAUGAGAUUGGUAUCAAUUAAGAACAUUUUGAACAACUUAGACCUAAAUUGGAGAUAAUUCUAUGUAAAAAGAUUAUCUGAAGAAAUUGAGUCGACUCAAGAUAGAAUGGGGUCAACUCGGGCAUAAUUUUGAUGCUGGCACACAAGUUUGGCAUGGUGUCAAGUCAACUCAAAAUCAAAUUGAGUCGACUCUACCACAGAGAACAGAAAACCAAUUUCGACGGUUUGAGACUAAGUCAACUCUAAAAUUUUUUGAGUCGACUCGAAGAGAAAAUGAGUUGACUCCAAGAGAAAUCAGGCUAACUCGAUCUCAAAAAAUAAAAAUUACAGAAAGCCAUAUUUCUGCUAUCAGAGAACGAGUCGGCUCAAAUCAAACUGAGUCGACUUGAAGACCACUUAACCACUUUUUAAGCUAACUAACUAGGUAACAUAACUAGCAAUUAAUUAUGCUAUGCAUAUGCCCUUUCAAUCUACUACCUUUGCUUUGAUACUAAUAAUUGUCACACCCCACUCCCUAGAUCGAGCAAAGGUCUAAUAGUUGAGCAAAGUUUUACCAGUACCUUAUGCCGUGGUUCAUAAGCUACUAGUAAACCCUGUUCAUCUACCACAAUCUACUUCAGAAUAAUUUAAACAUAAUUUUUAAGCCAUCUCAACAUAAUUCCAAUAGCAACCUUCGGCUUUUAUUCAUCAAUCCAUAGCUUUAUACAUAUCGCUUUAAAGCAUAGUACAUUAAUAUUUUCUGAAUUGAACAACCCCAACAUACAUUAUAACCCAACAUGCUCCUCUCACUAGCUAAUAUGCCCAGAAAUGAGAUGCUUCUCUUAGUAAGCUGAUAUGCCAAACUUCUUCUAUAAGAGUGCAAAUGAUGAUGCUGAUGCUUUACUUCUAUGCUUAGCUCAGAGGCUUUAAAUUUGAAAUCAAAAGAAGUAAGGGGGAUGAGACCUAAGUCUUAGUGAGUGAAUAAUCCAUCUAACUAUGGAGAAACAGUAAGGACUAGCUUUAACAUUCAUCAUAACAUACAGCUCAUACUACUGAUAUGCUUUCAAAACAUUUAUAUGCUAAACUAGAAUAAAAUCAUACCAUAAAUCAUUUUGAAAAAGAAUACUACUGGCGACUAUCGACUACACCACAGGGCACUACUUCCAUGGCAACCGAUAUAUCUCAACUGAUACUGCUGAUCCCCAUUGGGCAUACUAAAUUUUAUGUUGUUUUUUGAUAUUUGUGGUGUCGGCUGUUGCAGUGUAAAUGCUGAUGCUGUGACACCCCUCAUAGGUUCACUCCUAUGGGUGGCCCUUUUUAAAUACAUGCUCAAUAAAACUUCAAAUGCCGAUAUGCUGAUUCAAAGGCUGAUAUGCUCAUUUAAAACAUAUCUUAAAGCAAAAUGCUAAGCUGUUCAAACUGAUACAUUCAUAUAUACAUUCAACAUUCAAUAAGAUAUCAUAUCAUAUCACUUCCUGUUUCCAAUGCUUGUAUAUAUACAAAUAAUUAAGCUGUAGAAUAACAAAAUAUAACUUUCUUUUUCAGAAGUAAGUUCUUUCAUAGCAAAGUAUAAUGAAGAAAUUACCAAAGUCAAAUAGGAAAACCCACUCACCUCUUACUAGCUAUACCUUGGUCCUUGACUUAUCCAAAACACCCCUCUUGAGCCCUCUUUUCCUUUCCUAUAAAGUUGAUACACACUAAUUAAUAUAACACUUCAUGAUAUAAGAAUAUGAGAACAUAUACUUUGCUUCUUUAUGCUUAUUCUUUAGCUCUUCUAGCUCUUACUUUUUGCUUUUUAUGCUCAUUCUUAGCCCCCUUAACUCUUACUUUUAUUCUAUUCUUUUUUGCUCUUCUUAGAGUAAGCUAAGACUCCAUGUAAACUCUAAAAUUUUCAGUAAUUUGACUGUAUUUUAUUUUUAUCAUCUAUCCCAAAUUCAGCCAACACCAUAAUAUCAUCUAAUUGCGGAAACAAUUUAGACAGAUUUCAAUAAAAUCACCAGCAACACUGAUUCUUCAAUUCAAGUUCACAAUUCAUAUAUUUUAAUUCCCCCAGCACAUCAAGUCUUAUAAGUAUUAUACAUAAUUCAAUUUAAAUUCAGUUUAGGGUUGAAGUUCUUAGCUCAAUUAGUUGGAGGACUACAGCCACAAACACAGUCUUCUUUCCCUUCCUACCAUCAGCCAUCUCUUCUUCCAGAUUUGGUUAUCGAUAGAUCAUCUUCUUCUAGCUGAAUUCCCUCUUAAUUCCUGAUUGAGAAUACCAUCCUCUCUGGCCCUUUUCCCUUUCUAUCCUUCUGUUUUUACUAUAGAACUAAAAUAGCAACCAAGAGGCACCGGUGACUAAAACUUGAAAUACAAUAAAUUUAAGGGAGCUGUUUGCUAGGUGUCAAGCGCAGGAAAAACUAGCAAAACAAUAAUAUGCUGAGGUGUUGUCCGAAAGAGAUUUCAGCUGUCUCUGCAUGUGUUUUGUCUUUCUCAAUUAAAUUCAGCUGAACCAAGUAAGACAGGUGGCAGCACAAGGAAAAGACAAGUGGCAUAUCCAAAUUCUGCACAUCAAUGCAUCCAUGCAGAAAUCUGUCUCUCAUAUGGACUCACAAUACACCAAUGUAUAUACAUACUAAUUCAAAUAAUUCCAAUCUAAUUAAAUUCUUUAAUUUCAUCUCUUAUUACUUAUUUCUUUCAAUCCAAUUGAAAUUUGAUUGAUUUUGCACCUUCAAUUCUAUAUAAGCUAUGAAUUUUUUCAUCAACCCUAAGAUGAUUUUUUUUCCUUCGACUUACUAAACAAAUUCCAUCCCAAUUAUACUAUGUGCUAUGAUAUUUCUUACUAUUUCUUCAUUCUACUAAGGUCUCAAUGCUGUGAUAUAUGUUUCUUCCAAGGCCAUGAUACAAUUCUGUACUUUUUUUAUACACCACUCAAGUUUAACUUUUCACAAUCACUAAGCAAUUCUCGGCAACUCUUCCCCUCCAAUAAUAAAAUAUUCACUAGUCUUUUUAUUUUAUAUUUUCUGAAUCUAUACCACAAAACUACCAUAUAUAUCACCUAAGAUAUCCUUCUCAAUAUCAGCUCAUUCUAUUUUAAAUAGUUAUCAAAAAUUCAUCUUUAAUGUCACAAUUAUCAAUUCAAUCUCUUAAUCUCAAAGGUCAAACAAAUUUAUGCUUCAUUAAUGCUAAUCAAUUAAUAUUCAAAGACUCAAGUAUAUCCUGGACAAAAUGUUAUGCCAUAUAAAUAAAAGCUAACUUGAAUGCAAAUUUCUCAGACCAUCAAAUUUUGGGUUCGGGGUGUUCCAAUUCUCCCCUCCUUUAAAGAAUUUCAUCCCGAAAUUUUGUUACAUUUAAUCUGGAUAUUUGCCUUUUAUUUCAUCUCCUCUUUUCUAUGUGGCUUCUUUCAUACUGUGAUUCUACCAAAAAGUCUUAACCAAUGUUACAAUCCAAGAAUGCAACUAUUUUCUUUGUUUUACUCAAGAUAUACACUGGUUCCUCUGAAUAAGAUAAAUCUUCUUUUAAUUCAAUUAGUUUAGAUUGUAUAACAAGUGAUAUCCUAUGAGAUUGGCCAUCCCUAUAAACUCCUCUUGGUUUAUCCAGACUUCGAUCUCUAUCUCCCUCUAAUGAUUGUUCUCAACUAAGUCCUGAUCUUGUUUGUACAAUCUUUCUACAAAAUAUAGUUAAAACAAUCAAAUUCACUAUCCUCCAAGAUAAUUUGAUGAUGACCAAACAUUAAAACAUAGAUGUAUACUAUUAUCUCCCAAAUUCUUUCUAGAAAUAUUUUUAUAGAUAGAAAACAUCAUUAAAAUGAGAUUGGAACCAAUUAAGAACAUCUUGAAUAACUUAGACAUGAAUUGGAGACAAAUUCUAUAUAAAAAUAUUAUCUGAAGAAAUUGAGUCAACUCAAGAUAUAAUGGGGUCGACUCGAGCACAAUUCUGAGGCCAGCACACAAGGUUGGCAUGGCGUUGAGUCGACUCAAAAUCAAACCGAGUUGACUCUGCCAUAGAGAAUAGAAAACCAAUUUCGACGGCCUGAGACCAAGUUGACUCCAAAAAUUUUUGAGUUGACUCGAAGAGAAAAUGAGUCAACUCUUAGAGAAAUCGAGCAAACUCGGUCUCAGAAAACAAAAAUUACAAAAAGCCAUGUUUCUGCUACCAGAGAAUGAGUCAGCUCAAAAUAAAUCGAGUCGACUCAAAGACCACUCUUCCACUUUUUAAGCUAACUAACUAGAUAGCAUAACUUGUAAUUAAUUAUGCUAUGCAUAUGCCCAUGCAAUCUGCCACCUUUGCUUCGAUAGCAAUAAUUGUCAUAGCCCACUCCUUAAACUGAGUAAGGGUAUAACAGUUGAGUAGAAUUUUACUAGUACCUUAUACUGUAGUUCAUAAGCUACUAGCAAACCCUAUUUAUCUACCACAACCUGCUCAAAACAAUUUAAACAUAAUUCUUAAGCUAUCUCAAGAUAAUUCUAGUAACAACCUUCAACUUUUAUUCAUCAAUCCAUAGCUUUAUACAUAUCGCUUUAAAGAAAAGUACAUUUACAUUUUCUAAAUUGAACAACCCCAACAUAUAUCAUAACCCAACACGCUCCUCUCACUAGCUAAUAUGCCCAGAAAUGAGAUACUUCUCUCACUUAGCUGAUAUGCCAAACUUCUUCUAUAUGAGUGCAAAUGAUGAUGCUGAUGCUUUACUUCUAGCUUAGCUCAGAUGCUUUAAAUCUGUAAUAGAAAGAAGUGCGGGGGAUGAGACCUAAGUCCCAAUGAGUGAAUAAUUCAUCUAACUAUAAGGAAACAGAAAAGCUUAGCUUUAAUAUUCAACAUAACAUAUAGCUCAUACUACUGAUAUGCUUUCAAAACAUUUAUAUGCUAAACCUGAAUAAAACUAUGCCAUAAAUCAUUUAAAAAAAAAAUGCUGCUGGCUACUAUCGACUAUACCAUAGGGCACUACUCCCAUGGCAGCCGAUACAUCUCAACUUAUACUGCUAAGCUCCAUUGGGUAUGCUAAAUUUUUUACUAUUUUUUGAUAUUUGUGGUGCCAGCUACUGCUGUGUAAAUGUUGAUGCUGUGGCAUCUCUCAUAGGUUGAUCCCUCCUAUGGGUAGCACUUUUCAAAAACAUGCUUAAUAAAACUUCAAAUAUCGAUAUGCUGAUUCAAAGGGUGAUAUGCUAAUUUAAAAUAUUUCUUAAAGCAAAAUGCUAAGCUGUUCAAACCGAUACAUUCAUAUAUACAUUCAACAUUCAAUAAGAUAUCAUAUCAUAUCACUUCCUGUUUCCAAUGCUUGCAUAUAUACAAAUAAUUAAGCUGUAGAAUAACAAAAUAUAACUUUCUUUUUUAGAAGUAACUUCUUUCAUAGCAAAGUAUAAUGAAGAAAUUACCAAAGUCAAAUAGGAAAACCCACUCACCUCUUACUAGCUAUACCUUGGUCCUUGACUUAUCCAAAACACCCCUCUUGAGCCCUCUUUUCCUUUCCUAUAAAGUUGAUACACACUAAUUAAUAUAACACUUCAUGAUAUAAGAAUAUGAGAACAUAUAAUUUGCUUCUUUAUGCUUAUUCUUUAGCUCUUCUAGCUCUUACUUUUUGCUUUUUAUGCUCAUUCUUAGCCCCAUUAACUCUUACUUUUAUUCUAUUCUAUUUUGCUCUGCUUAGAGUAAGCUAAGACUCCAUGUAAACUCUAAAAUUUUCAGUAAUUUGACUGUAUUUUAUUUUUGUCAUUUAUCGCAAAUUCAGCCAAUACCAUAAUAUCAUCUAAUUGCGGAAACAAUUCAGACAUAUUUCAAUAAAAUCACCAGCAACACUGAUUCUUCAAUUCAAGUUCACAAUUCAUAUAUUUUAAUUCCCCCAGCACAUCAAGUCUUAUAAUUAUUAUACAUAAUUUGAAUUUAAAUUCAGUUAGGGUUGAAGUUCUUACCUCAAUUAGUUGGAGUACUACAGCCACAAACACAGUCUUCUUUCCCUUCCUACCAUCAGCCAUCUUUUCUUCCAGAUUUGGUUAUCGAUAGAUCAUCUUCUUCUAGCUGAAUUCCAUCUUAAUUCUUUACUGAAAAUACCAUCCUCUCCAGCCCUUUUCACUUUCUAUCCUUCUAUUUUUAGUACCGAACUAAAACAGCAACCAAGAGGUAUUGGUGACUAAAACUUGAAAUAUAAUAAAUUUAAGGGAGCUACUUGCUAGGUGUCAAGGACAGGGAAAACC